CAAACUGGAGAUGGCGACCGGCGCACGGGUGAGUAACACGUAUCCAACCUGCCGAUAACUCGGGGAUAGCCUUUCGAAAGAAAGAUUAAUACCCGAUGGCAUAAUAGAACCGCAUGGUUUGAUUAUUAAAGAAUUUCGGUUAUCGAUGGGGAUGCGUUCCAUUAGGCAGUAGGCGGGGUAACGGCCCACCUAGUCUUCGAUGGAUAGGGGUUCUGAGAGGAAGGUCCCCCACAUUGGAACUGAGACACGGUCCAAACUCCUACGGGAGGCAGCAUG
rnacentral:rRNA from 1 species